UUUCAUGACUAUGAAAACUGUAGAGUCACACUGAAGGCAUCAAGGGCUAUUUGACCAAGAAGGAGAGUGAUGGGGUGCUGCGCCAGAUGACCUGGCCUCCACAGUCACCGGACCUUAACCCAAUCGAGAUGGUUUAAGGGUGAGCUGGACCGCAGACAGAAGGCAAAAGGGCCAACAAGUGCUAAGCAUCUCUCGGGGAACUCCUUCAAGACUGUUGGAAGACCAUUUCAGAUUUGAGGGAAAGAUUAAAAACAAGGAGGUCUGGGAAUGACUGAAGGGAACUGACAGCAGUGAGGGAAGGAAGUAAUCACCAGAAUCUCAGAGAAGGAUGUUGACAGUGCAGGUCCAGGAUGAAGAAGAGGAGGAAGAACACGUUUAACAAUUUUCUCAUAAGCUUGCCAUGUGUUAUAAUAAAAACAAUGAACAUGGCUACAAUAAUAUGCUAAAUGUUAUUAAAAGAUUCCAGUUUGCAAGAAGUCUGAGUGUCUGACUCUACACUAGAGGAACUCUUUUCUGAAGAAGAACAGGUGCUGAGAAGGAGCCUUGUUCUACAGCAAAACAAUGCAUCAAGCCUCCUGUCCUUCCCUUAGAAGAGCCUGUCUUCUGCUGCUGGGGUAAGAAGCACCCUCUUCCUCUUCUCUAUCAGCUGUCCAGCACCUAACUCUGCCUCCUCAGCACUGUCUGAAAGAGUCUUCUCCACAGUCAGUAAUCAGAGAUCACAGAUUCUUCUGAGAAAGUCGAUAUGCUCAUUUUCUUAAAAAACUUUGUUUUUUCGGGUGGGACAAAUAAUACAAGAGAGAUGCUAGAAAUCUCUAUAUUGUUCAUUUUUCAUAUCUUUACGCUUUAUGAAUGUUUUUCUUCUGAGAAGCUCAAAAAUUAUGGUUCUUUGGUAAUUGCUUUAUUGUUUAGGUUUAUCCUCUGAUAGUGAGCACAGAGCCCUGAUCAUGACAUGCAAGAAAAAGAAAGAAAUCAUGUCCAUGAUUUACUAAUUCGUUCCCUCUAUGUACUAAAACGUGCACGAUUACUUUUACAUUUCAUUGAU